GGACUGAAUCAGGACCUCAUGCACUCUAGGUAAUGUUCUGCCACUCAACUAGCACCCUGGCCCUGUGCUUUCAACCAGAAGACACCACAGUGGAGAGCGGUACAGUAGAGCUACAGCAGGGGGGAACUGCCUUAGUUACUCAACCUCAGCUACUCAGGAAAGUAGCCACAAACCGCUUUCAGAAGUCUAACUCUGUGAAGGCAUUUUCUACUUGUUUCAAUGCCUUCUAAGACUUAGUUUCUAGAAAGCUGGAAGAUCCUGAACUUAGAUCUGAAAUUCACUAGAUACAGUAUUUACUCUCUCAGUCUCAACUUCCUUGCCAGAAAAAAGUUGUGCAAAUCCAUGUGGCUCCAUUAGCCAUGGAGUAAUGAAAGACUGACUACAAAAAAGCCUCACUCCAAUGCUGUUUUCCUUACACUGCAUCAGCUGGCCAAGUGAGAUUAGCUGAUUCUUUCCCUCCUCAGUUUUCAGCAAGAAACAGACUAUUCUGAAAGAUAAGGUGCCAUGUGUUCUAGAUACUUCAGAAACCACCAGCAUCAGGCUCCAGCAGCUCAUGAUGCAGUUCGUGGCCAACCUAGGUCACCAGUUUAUCUCCAAUAACUACUCAGAAAAAGCCAAAGUGGAGCUGUGGCUGAAAUCAUAGUACCAGCUUGGAGCAAAAGCAGCUCAAGGACAGCAGGCUAAGCUGAGGUUCAAGCCCCAGGACUGGCCAAAAACAAAAAACAAAAAACCACCAAAUCUUUUAAGUGUCAGGUAAUUCAACUAUCAUUUAUUUAGGAGGGCGGAGGAUUAAGUACUAGGACUUGAGCUCAAGACACUCAGGAUUUAUCACAGCUGGUGCUCUACCACUUGGGACAUGCCUCCAGACUGUUUCAAAGGUUUAUUAUUACUAAGCCAUCAUCUUCACCCCAGAUCACAGAUCUUGUAUCCACAGGUCCUGUGGUUGUAGUGAUAUUACUUCUGGAAAUAUCCCUCAGGGAGAUCUGCUCAAAGCCAACUUCAUCACUCAAUUAAGAGACACACAAAAUGCAGUUACCCUAUGCAGCAGAACCACUCCUUGUCCACCCCUUAGUUUUUCUCUCAUCAGGAGGGGUCAUCGGUAACUCUCAACCCUGGCUGCUCAUUAGAAUCAUUUAGGAAUGUUGUAUAGAUCCCUGGUCCUCACCUCAGCUAUGCUGAGUCAAACUACCCAGGAGAGGAUCAAAUAUACCUCACAGUUUAGUAAACCAUUUGGUUCACUGAAAUAAAAGCACCCACGCUGCCUUUUUCUUGUGUAUCAGUCUCAGAUUCAUCUUUUCAGCACAUAUUUUGUAAAUUCCCAAUAAGAGCUCUUGAAAGUUCUUAUAAGAAAAGUCCUUACAGAACCAAGAAAAAAAGCACAGUAUCACAGAGGUCACAGUGGGGUAGAUAAUUCAACUCACUCUAGAACAACAGUUCAAUGUGUCUUUCAAAUAACAUCUUCAGAUUUCUCCUUUCAACACAUAUUGUAUACAGACAGUGUCAGCAGCUUGGCCACAUUUCCCCCCAUGUCCCCAGGGGGUGUCAGCCCC